rnacentral:ncRNA from 1 species
UGCCGGGUUACGGUGCCAAACUGCGCGCUAACCUAGAACCCACAAAGGGUGUUGGUCGAUUAAGACAGCAGGACGGUGGUCAUGGAAGUCGAAAUCCGCUAAGGAGUGUGUAACAACUCACCUGCCGAAUCAACUAGCCCCGAAAAUGGAUGGCGCUGAAGCGCGCGACCCACACCCGGCCAUCUGGGCGAGCGACAUGCCCCGAUG